AAAAAAAAAUUAGAGCAGCAGAGUCUCUGAGUCCGCCUCUGAGUUGUUGGAAUCUUCGAUGGGAAGAAAGAAAAAGUAUAAUAAGGUUAAGAAGGAGCAGGUGUUGUUGUGCUGGAGCUUUCCUCACCAUGGCUGGUACAAGCUCAACGUGGAUGGGAGCUACCGCAGUGGAUCUGGGUGCAUUGCAGGAGGUGGUGUGAUCAGAAAUCAAGAAGGAGAAUGGUUAUCUGGGUUUGCUGCAAAUUUGGGAACAGGCAAAGUUAUUGAAGCAGAGCUUUGGGCCUUAUACAGAGGCUUGGAGCUUGCUUGGAAAUCUGGGUUGGCCCCACUUGAGGUGGAAACUGACUCAACCACUGUUUUGAAGCUUAUGCAUAACCCAGUUGAGGUUAAUUGGAAACACCCUCAGUUUAACUUGAUCAAGAGCUGCCAGAAUCUCCUUAACCAAAGCUGGAUAUGUUCUCUGAAUCAUGCAUAUUGGCAGCAAAACAGUGUAGCUGAUUGUCUAGCUAAUUUUGGGCUGACUAUGGAGCUGGGGUGCCAUUAUUUUGAUGUUCCUCCACCUCUCUGUGAGCCUUUUUUAGUUCAGGAUAUCUCUAGGGUUGCUCAACCCAGGUUUCUUCCUCCCUCUGUCAUAGAAUACAGAAAAAUAAAGAAAUUGGAGGAAGUGGAUAUUCACAUGGAAAAUCUUGCAUCUGUUAUAUUCACAUGGAAAGUUGACAACUUCUUUAAGUUGGAUGCUGUCAAGUAUUACUCUGAUGUCUUUGUCAUCGGUGUUUUUGAAUGGCGAAUCCUUAUGUAUCCAAGGGGGAACAAUGUAGACUACUUGUCGGUUUAUCUGGAUGUUACAGGUUCUUCAACAUUGCCAUUAGGGUGGGCUAGACAUGCGCGAUUCAGCUUGACCAUCGUUAAUCAACUUCAAAGCAGCGAGUCUUUAACAAAGGAUACUGAACAUGUGUUCAAUAAAAGUGACAGUAACUCGGGCUUCACAUCAUUAAUUCCUCUAAGUGAGUUUUGUGACCAUAGUAAAGGAUAUGUUGUGAAUGACACAUGUAUCAUUGAAGCCAAGGUUGCAGUCCAUAAGUCUGAAAUUAAGAUUUUAGAAGAACAAAAAACUCGUAGAAUUCCAGAUUGAUCAGCAGCAAAUAAGGCACCAUGUUACGAGAAGGUGUCUGCCUUCCAGGAGGAACCAAGUUCUGAGAAGGUUUGCACCGAUAGCCCUGCUAAUCCUCCCAUUGUCAUGGAACACGAGGAUGCAUCGUCCACACCAGCUGGGGAGCUCAUGGUUUUCAGGGGUUUAAGUGUAAAACAGAAAAAGCUUUUGCUCCGCUGCCCUAUGAAGUUUGUUCCUGGCAUCCUUCUUUAAUAGAAUUCCAAAAGAAGAGAAGUCACAUGUCCACUGAGUGGGCAUUCACAGCUUCAAUCUGACUCCUGCAUUUUUUGAAGAAUACAGAAAAGGUCAAGGAUAUGACAGAUGAUGUCUCUGAGCACCUUAAACUUUUAUGGGAGGAGCUUGAGACCUUCAGGUUUGACUUGGCUUGGCUGGGGCCCCCUGUUCAUAGCGCUUUAGGUAUGAAGAAUUUUGUGGAAACGGUAGGGCAACGGAAAAGACUGAGAGAGGAAAUAGAUGCUUUGGAGAUUAAAACAAAGCGGCUAAAGGCUAAGCUAUUGCUUGCGGAGGUAAAUCUUGAGGUAGCAAUACGAGAUUUCCACAGGGCUGAAUGACGAGAUAGAUAUGGAUGGUGAGUUGGGUAAUGGGAUGUAGAAUUUUCCCUUGACUUGCUGAAGAUAUGCAAUGUACGACACAUAACGCGAAGUUUGACUGGAUUGUUCGGGGUCCCCCUUACUGGAGGCCACCUCUCCCCAAAAGCAAUGCAGCUUAAGGCGUUAAUUGAUGUACUCAAACAGGCCAAGGUUGCUUUGCUUUGUGAAGCUGAUUGAGAAAAGGCCAGGACUUUAGCAUUUGGGCGGGGUAUUGGAGGAAGUUAAGACAAUUGAAGCACACUUUGCACACCAUAUCUUUAGGUAGUUGUAACAUAGUUGCACAAAUCAGUCGGAAAAGCAUGCCUCUUGUUGUAAUCCAUCUUUUAUCUGGACGGAGAAGGGGUGUUUGCUUGCUCCUUUGUGAUAUGUCGAAUGUAUUGAGAAACAUAUAAGACUACUAAUACAAGUUCAUGGUAGAACUUGCGUUUGUAGACUAGCUUGCAAAAGAAUGGUGCCCAAGAGCACACAUACCAGUUCAAGA